rnacentral:rRNA from 1 species
UACGUAGGGUCCAAGCGUUUAUCCGGAAUCACUGGGCGUAAAGCGUGCGUAGGUGGUUCGUUAAGUCCGUUGUGAAAGCCCCGAGCUCAACUUGGGAAUUGCAGUGGAUACUGGCGAGCUAGAGUGCGGUAGAGGAAGGUGGAAUUUCCGGUGGAGCGGUGAAAUGCAUUGAGAUCGGAAAGAACACCAACGGCGAAAGCACUCUGCUGGGCCGACACUGACACUGAGAGACGAAAGCUAGGGGAGCAAAUGGG